rnacentral:misc_RNA from 1 species
GGGUGAAAUGGAGGACUUCGGUCCUCAAAUUUCACCC